UUUCAGAUUGUUAAAAUAUCGCCCACCACUAAUGUCUGGUCCACAUGUGAUAUUGAACCCCCCCUUUAUACUUUAACCAUGCCCAUGUACUCAGGCCACGCCCCCUUUAUGGCUUUUGAACCGUUUAAG